CCUGAGAAACCCAAAAGAUCGAAUGGGGAGAUUCAUCGUCAGCUCAUUUUAUAUAUAUGCUAGUUAUGAUAUGGGUUACUCUGCUACAAUUACUGUAGUACGUGUAUUGCCUGUACAUUCUUGUAUAUUUUAUUGUAAGAUGUUGUCGGCGUGCAUUCUCCCCUAGUAGGACGUCGCGACCCGUUGAGUUUUGUUGGUCUACGGCCCAAGUGGUAUAGCUUUCAAUGAAUUUUUGUCAAAAUUAAUUUAUUGAAAACCCUUGGUGUCUCCUGACUGGCACUCGUCGGUAAUUAUAUAAUAUGGUAUUGAGCCGCAUAUUUUAUAUGCGUCCAUAUCUGUCGCAAGCGAGGUUUGUUAUCGAUAGUACGGACCUAGUGCCGUCUAAUGAUACUAAUCAGCUGUUGGUUGUACAGAAUUCUAGGACUGGCUCGUUAUAAAUAAAAUAUAUACCUGUCAGCGAUGCUACUGCUUUGGG
rnacentral:rRNA from 1 species